UUUGCAGUCCGCAAAGCUCUAAGUACCCAUACAUCCAGGUACACAAAUGCAAACUGGGGACGCCACUCGCUCAGUCUGCCACUUGCUCCCUGACACAUAAAGGAAGCCCUCCCCAUCACGCUGUCACACAGGAAAUUCCAGAUGUUCACACUGUCCCCGGCCGUCACUCACCUACAGCCGCAUCCAUUCACACUGUCACACACACAAUUCCUUCUGUUUGGAGGUUCCCCCCAGCCCUGGUCACAGGAAGCUCCUGAUGGGGGAUGUUGGGGGGGGGGUUGGGAAUGAGUUAUUGAACCUCCCAGCUGUGGACAGCUGCCUGGACACGGGAUGGAAGGACCGCGCGCCGCCUGUCUGAUGAGUGAGGCUCAAGAAAAACAGUGUGAAUGUUACCCUCAGGGCACAUCUCAUUUUGGACCAGCCACAUUUUAAGCUCUCAAGAUCCACACGCGGACAAGUGGCUGCCACAUCCGACCGUGCAGAAGAGGAUGAUGGCGCCAUCGGAGAUCUGGAGGGUGGCUUCCUCAAAGUCCAGAUUUAACAGGUGACAGUGUGCCUCCAGGAGACAGCGUGGCUACGGUCAAGACCCUGGAGUCUGCAGCCAGACUGUGGGGUUCAGAUACUAGUUCUGGAACUUGCAAGUUGCAGCUCCAACUUGAAAGGGGAACCACCCACAAGGCCUCAGAGGGAUGUUGUGAAGAUUAAACGAAUGAAUAAGCAUGGAACACUGAGAACAGGGCCUGGCACAUAUUAAGGGCGGUGUGAGGGUUGACUUUUAUUACCGAUUGGAGAUUCAGGAAAGAGAAAAUCUCUCGGGUCCACAUGAAAAGUUGAAGAAUGAACACUCCUUGCAAAACUUCUCAUCCUCAAAGUGGAGGAUGCCCAGGCCAUGGGGGCGCACACAACUUGUCACACGCGUGUGGGAUGCACGGGCCACUCCGGGUCCCCCAGGGCGAGUGUGCCCGCCGUCCCUGCUGGAACGGGCCUGCGCCAUCCCAAAGCUUUGGCCGCCUCCCAGUGUCAACGCUGCCGCCUGUUCUCCGGUCCUCACUUUUCUGUUCUAAUCUGUGCAGUGACUUGAAUGGCGUGCGCCACCUCCCCCCCCCCCCCCCCCCCCCCCCCCCCCCCGUCCCAGAUGGGUCCACCUGAGACCUGUGCAUGUGAGCUUCUUUGAAAAAAGGGUCUUUGCGGAUGCUAUUCAGGUGAGGAUCUCAGAUGAGCUCCUCCUGGAUUAUCAGGACAGGCCCUGAACCUGACAGCAAGCAUCCUUAGACGAGAAAGGCAGAGGGCGACGGGACACAGAGCAGAAGAGACGCCACGUGAAGAUGGAGGCAGAGACUGCGUGAGGCAGCCAAGCUAAGGGCGCCUGAGGCCGCCAGAGGCUGGAGGAGAAGAGCAGGAUCCUCCCCAGAACCUUUGGAGGGAGGGUGGCUCCGCUGACACUUUGAUUUAGGACUUCCGGCCUCCAGAGAAUAAAUUUCUUUUGUUUUAAGCUACCAAGUUGGUAGUAAUUUGUUACAGCAGCACAGGAAAUGAAUACAAUCUGUUUGGGGGCCUGCCUCCUCCACCCUGAAGGCAGAGUUUCUAUGGCUUUCAGAUACCAUCUCCUCCAGCCCUCCCUCACAGGAGGAAACUGAGGCUGGGAAAGAGGGCGGGGCCGGAACUAGACCUCAGGCCCCCAGCUCAAGGGGUCUCUGUGGAAACUUGCAGAGUAUUUUGCCUCUUGAAAACAUACAGAAUUUUCUCUUUUUUUUUGAGGAAGAUUAGCCCUGAGUUAACUACUGCCAAUCCUCCUCUUUUUGCUGAGGAAGACUGGCCCUGAGCUAAGAUCUGUGCCCAUCUUCCUCUACUUUAUAUGUGGGAUGCCUACCACAGCAUGGCGUGCCAAGCGGUGCCAUGUCUGCACCCAGGAUCCGAACCAGUGAACCCCAGGCCACCAGGAAGAGGAAUGUGCAAACUUAACCGCUAUGCCACCGGGCCGGCCCCAGUGGUGGAGAACAUAAGCUUCAGUUUGGUUUGGUUGCUUCUUUGCUGUGUGGCCUUAGGCAAGAGACGAACCUCUCUGUACUUUAGUUUUUCCCUCUCUAAAAUGAAAAGAACAGGAUAAGUCAUCUCAGAAGGUUGCCAUGUGGAGUAUGUGAGCAUUGAUCAACUUUACCAUGUGACAUAAUCCUGGAAGUCUCUGCAAAUACUAUAAGACAAGAAAAAUAAAUGAGAGGUAAAGAUCAGAAGGCAGGAGAUAAAACUGUCAUUUGGAUCUUUUUUUUUU
ensembl:lncRNA